GACGAACCGUGCGAACGUUGUUCGGAAUCACUGGGCUUAAAGGGCGCGUAGGCGGGUCAUCAAGUCCGGGGGGAAAGCCCCCAGCUUAACUGGGGAAGUGCCUUGGAUACUGAUGGUCUCGAGGGGGGUAGGGGCAGUGGGAACUUCCGGUGGAGCGGUGAAAUGCGUUGAUAUCGGAAGGAACGCCGGUGGCGAAAGCGCACUGCUGGACCUUUUCUGACGCUGAGGCGCGAAAGCCAGGGGAGCAAACGGG
rnacentral:rRNA from 1 species